AAACCAUGAAUCGAGCAUUUUCUCAGUUGCUCAUUGAAUCAUUCCCAUGCAUCAUAUAAUGUGUCAUCCUCUGAUUGUUUACACGAUGUAAUGUCAUUCCUCAACUU
rfam:Gossypium arboreum cultivar AKA8401 contig_75233_1, whole genome shotgun sequence.